rnacentral:rRNA from 1 species
GUGCCAGCCGCCGCGGUAAGACGAACCGUGCGAACGUUGUUCGGAAUCACUGGGCUUAAAGGGCGCGUAGGCGGGUGACCAAGUCAGGGGUGAAAUCUUUCGGCUUAACCGGAAAACAGCCCCUGAUACUGGCCAUCUUGAGGGAGGUAGGGGCAUGUGGAACUUCUGGUGGAGCGGUGAAAUGCGUAGAUAUCAGAAGGAACGCCGGUGGCGAAAGCGACGUGCUGGACCUCAUCUGACGCUGAGGCGCGAAAGCUAGGGGAGCGAACGGGAUUAGAUACCCCGGUAGUCCUAGCCCUAAACGAUGGGUACUAGGUAGUGGACUUAACAUGGGUUCACUGCCGAAGCAAAAGUGGUAAGUACCCCGCCUGGGGAGUAUGGUCGCAAGGCUGAA